UACGGAGGGUGCGAGCGUUGUCCGGAAUCAUUGGGCGUAAAGCGCGUGUAGGCGGCCCGGUAAGUCCGCUGUGAAAGUCCAGGGCUCAACCCUGGAAUGCCGGUGGAUACUGUCGGGCUCGAGUCCGGAAGAGGCGAGUGGAAUUCCUGGUGUAGCGGUGAAAUGCGCAGAUAUCAGGAGGAACACCGAUGGCGAAGGCAGCUCGCUGGGACGGUACUGACGCUGAGACGCGAAAGCGUGGGGAGCAAACAGG
rnacentral:rRNA from 1 species